rnacentral:rRNA from 1 species
AUGUUCCCAGUGCUUUUCAUGGACCGCUGGUCAUUAUACAUUCUCGAUACUGAGAAGAAGGUUGUGAUGGUGUUUGACCCAACCGAGACAGAUCCGACAGAUGAGAUGAAGAGGAAGCACGAGGCAUUAUCGAGGAAGUUCUGGUUUAGAUUCUGCCACCUGUCCAAUGUCAUGUUCGGUGCAGGUGCAGGGUUGGUCGAGACGACUGGCUGGACAUUUGUGUACCCCCUGGUGGCGCAGCACGAACCAUGCAUGAGGAUAGCAGUGUGUCAUGCGCUACAUUCUGGAGUUCACUGGUCUUUACCUUGGUUCGAUGCUUACCCAAGCACAGCUUGA